rnacentral:tRNA from 1 species
GCCUUUCUUGGUGUAGUGGUCUGCAUGCUCGUCGGGUAACCGAGAGGUCCGAGGUUCGAUUCCCGGCGAAGGCG